rnacentral:rRNA from 1 species
GAUGAACGCUGGCGGCGUGCUUAACACAUGCAAGUCGAGCGAGUGAGUUCUUCGGAACGAUCUAGCGGCGGACGGGUGAGUAACACGUGGGCAACCUGCCUCAUAGAGGGGAAUAGCCUUCCGAAAGGAAGAUUAAUACCGCAUAACAUCGUUGAAGGGCAUCCUUCGAUGAUCAAAGGAGCAAUCCGCUAUGAGAUGGGCCCGCGGCGCAUUAGCUAGUUGGUGAGGUAACGGCUCACCAAGGCGACGAUGCGUAGCCGACCUGAGAGGGUGAUCGGCCACAUUGGGACUGAGACACGGCCCAGACUCCUACGGGAGGCAGCAGUGGGGAAUAUUGCACAAUGGGGGAAACCCUGAUGCAGCAACGCCGCGUGAGUGAUGACGGCCUUCGGGUUGUAAAGCUCUGUCUUUGGGGACGAUAACGACGGUACCCAAGGAGGAAGUCACGGCUAACUACGUGACAGCCGCCGCGGUAACAC